AUCCAUUGUAAAAGAAAAAAGUCACAAAAUGGGAAAAUAUAUUUGCAACACGUUUAAUGUUAGAAAGAAUAAUUCAGUUCUGAAUUUUUAACAUAUUUUAUUGGGCCCAAGAAUGCAUUAAAAUGGCCUAUCAGUGUAAACUCUUCUCUGUAAUCUGGCCACUAAUCAUCUGUUUUAAAUGGUGAGUUUGGUGGAGGGAAGAGACUGCUCAACAAUCAGCAAACUAUUAAAGUGUUCUAGGCAUAAAAAGAGACUGAUAAAUAGUGAAUGCAGCUAGGAUGGAAAAUGCAACAAAAAAGAGAAUAGAUAGUAAAAUACAUACAUGCAUACUAACUGAAUAUAGAAAUGGGAGAUAGAAUUAACUGUGUUAUCUCUUCUAAUAUACGAUUUGUUAAAAGAAUUGGGCACAUUGAAAAGAGAAGUUUGGAGAAAAUACAGGACAUUUAAUUUGGUAAACGUAAACACUGAGGCAUGAGAAAGAUCUGUGACACCAUUUGUAAUAAAUUCUGGAUUUGAGGUGUGAAUAAAGAGGAAUGAUACCAAAAUUUUGAAUUAAGUUGCAAGUAGAGGAGACAUUAAGCCUAGUCUGUAGGGAUGCCCCAAGGUCCACAUUGGUUGUAUCACAGAAUGUGUUCUGUCACUAGGAGACUAGGAUGCCAUACCAUCAAUAAAAGAGAAGUUAUUAACUGUCUGCAGGAUUAGAAACAUUUUGUGAAAGCAUUGGUGCUGAGAGAAGAAUGUCCCCAUUGUAAUGCAAUAACUCACAUUUUUAAAAUAAAAGCAAAUCUGAGAUUUAAUCUUUUUUUUUUUUUGAGAUAGAGUCUCACUCUGUCACCAGGCAUCAGGCUGGUGUGCAGUGACGCGAUUUUGGCUCACUGCAACCUCCACCUCCUGGGUUCAGGCAGUUCUCCUGCCUCAGCCUCCCAAGUAGCUGGAAUUAUAGGUGUGCACCACCAUGCCCAGCUAAAUUUUUAUUUUUUAGUAGAGAUGGGAUUUCACCAAGUUGGCCUGGAUGGUUGUUGCAUUGAUCCUUUUACCACUAUAUGUUUGUUGCUUUAAAAUCUAUUUUAUCUGAUACGAGAAUUGCAACUCCUGCUUUUUAUUUAUUUAUUAUUUAUUUUUGCUCUCCAUUUGGUUGGUAAAUCUUUCUCCAUCCCUUUGUUUUGAGUCUUUGUGUAUCCUUGCAUGUGAAACAGGUCUGGAUGUAACAUGCCAUUGGGUUUUGGCUGUGUCUUUUGAUUGGGGGAUUUAGUCAAUUUAAAUUUAGGGUUACUGCCAUUUGAUGUUGACUGGCUGUUUUAUCCAUUCGUUGGUAUAAAUUCUUCUUUAUGUUGGUGCUCUUUACUUUUUGGUAUAUUUUUAGAAAGGCUGAUACUGGUUGUUUCUUUCUGUGUGUAAUGCUUCUUUCAGAAGCUCUUGUAAAGCAGGCCUGGUGGUAAUAAAAUCUCUGAGUACUUGCUUGUUCAUAAAAGAUUUUAUUUUUCCUUCAGUUGUGAAGCUUAGUUUGGCUGGAUAUGAAAUUCUGGGCUGAAGGUUCUAUUCUUUGAGGAUGUUGAAUAUUGGCCCCCACUCUCUUCUGGCUUGUAGAGUUUCUGCUGAGAGAUCUGCUGUAAGUCUGAUAGGCUUGCCUUUGUGGGUAACCUGACCUUUCUCUCUGGCUGCCCUUAGUAUUUUCUCCUUCGUUUCAACCCUGGUGAAUCUAACGAUUAUGUGCCUUGGGGUUGCUCUUCUUGAGGAAUAUCUUUGUGGUGUUCUCUGUAUUACCUGAGGUUGAGUGUUGACCUGCUUUGCUAGUUUUGGAAAAUUUUCCUGAAUAAUAUCCUGAAGGGUAUUUUCCAGCUUGGAUUCAUUCUCUCCGUCGCAUUCAGGUACACCUAUCAAACGUAGAUUUGGUCUUUUCACAUAGUCCCACAUUUCUUGGAGACUUUGCUCAUUCCUUUUUAUCCUUUUUUUCUCUAAUCUUUUCUUAACAUUUUAU
rnacentral:lncRNA from 1 species